AGAACGAACGCUGGCGGCAUGCCUAAUACAUGCAAGUCGAACGAACACUUCGGUGUUAGUGGCGCACGGGUGCGUAACGCGUGGGAAUCUGCCCUUGGGUUCGGAAUAACAGUUGGAAACGACUGCUAAUACCGGAUGAUAUCGAAAGAUCAAAGAUUUAUCGCCCAGGGAUGAGCCCGCGUAGGAUUAGCUAGUUGGUGAGGUAAAGGCUCACCAAGGCGACGAUCCUUAGCUGGUCUGAGAGGAUGAUCAGCCACACUGGGACUGAGACACGGCCCAGACUCCUACGGGAGGCAGCAGUAGGGAAUAUUGGACAAUGGGCGCAAGCCUGAUCCAGCAAUGCCGCGUGAGUGAUGAAGGCCUUAGGGUUGUAAAGCUCUUUUACCCGAGAUGAUAAUGACAGUAUCGGAGAAUAAGCCCCGCUAACUCCGUGCCAGCCAGCCGC
rnacentral:rRNA from 1 species